UCUCUGCAGCCGAAAUCGCGGCACCAGAAAAGCCUUGUUUGGGGCUUGAGACCUAAACUGGGCAAUAAUGCAACCCUUUUGCUGGCAUAAAGCAGCAAAGCUGCCCCCCCUCUUUAACCUUCACUCACCAUUUGUGGAUGUCAUGAAAGACUGGAAAAGGUCAGCAGAAUUUCUGAGGAAGGGUCACCGAACCCGAACGUUCACUCUGUUUUCUCAUCGACAGAUGCUGCCAGACCUGCUGAGCUAUUCCAGCAACUUUGUUUUUGUUCCUGAUUUACAGCAUCCGCAGUUCUUUUGGUUUUCAUUCCUUCCGUCGCUGCCGGCACGCAAUUAUUUCUGACGAAGAAUCUAGGCCCGAAACGUCAGUUUUGCUGCUUGGCCUGCUGCGUUCAUCCAGCUCUACACCUUGUUAUCUCAGAUUCUGCAGUUCCGACUAUCUCUGAUACAAUCCACAAUUAGCUGUGCGCAUGCUCUAUAGCUACACGCCGGUUUGAUGACGUCACACAACCAAUAGCAAUGAAGGGGCGCGACUGGAGGAUGGCACCGGAUCUGUUUGUCCUCCAACCGUUUGAGGACGAGGGGCGGGCUGCAAGAACAUCCUCGAACGGAAGGCGGGGCGGUGUUAUCCUUCCAACCAAUCGGGGAGACACAGUGACGGGACUGGAAUUCGAACCUCCUUCGGAACGUGUGACGGGCGGGGUUAGUGCUCCAACCAAUCAGUACACGGGAAGGCGGGUCUAACAACGUGACCAGAGCAUGCGCCGUAGGCGUGAUGGAGCCAGAAUGUUGUUCUCUGGAUUGAAGGGAGGUCUCUUGUCUGUCCAUUCUUUUUAUAGAGCAUUCAAUGGGAAGGAUUCCCAAAUCAUCAAUUCCAACCCGAUAUCACAGCAAAGUCUAACCGAGUCACUCUUUUCAGCAGUAUCUCAGUGUCAUCGGUCUUUCACCGUGCAAGACAUUGCUGUCUAAGCCAGAAUAUACUGCCCAUCUAUGAUUGCUAAGGGGGCUGUCAAGAGUCAACUGCAUUGUUGUUGGGUUGGAGUCACAUGUAGGCCAGACCAGGCAAUUAGACAGUAAGUUCAAAUCAAAUGUGAGAUCAAGAGCUGCCAGCAGUGUUCAGUUCUCAGGACCUGAGUAUCACCAGCCUUGGAAUAUGGAAGGAAAAAGCAUCGUUCACAGUGAAGAGAAACUGUACAGGUGGCCUGUGUGUGGACAAGGCUUCAGUCAAUCGUCUGGACUGUCGCUAUGUAAAUGCAAUCACAAUAAGGAAACAACAAUUGUGCUAAGCAGCACUUGCUUUGCAAUAUCAUGCUCAUAAAUCUCAGUUUCAGUUAAGCAAGAUUCACUCAA